rnacentral:lncRNA from 1 species
AUUUAUCUUCUUUUGUCUUUUUCUAUUCUUUUUUUCUCAGCAAAUAGGCCAUGUUUCAUGGUAAAUUGAAAGUCUGGCCUGCUAAGACUGGUCAGGAAAUAUAUACAAUUAAGGUUAUGUAUAUUUUCUUCUAGAUGAUCUAACUGGCAUAAACUAUAAUUGAUGUGAAUCCUCACAAGUGUCCGGUCUUCGUGCCUAAACUUUUUUCAACAGCUAUUUACUGCUACAACACUGUAAUCAGGAUCAGGUAGCUGGAGUCUUAAUUGUGUCACUAGAAUUUUCAGCACGAUCAGUCCUGUUUUUCCAAAGAUGUAGUCUGAAAUUGAAGUCCCCGGAUUGUGGACCCAGUCUGCUUCUUGAUUUUCUUGUUGGCAUGAAUGCAUCAUUGUGUAUGAUUACAACUCUUCUGUGACACUGCUACAACUUUCUCUGCCGCAUUCUAGAAGGUUCUCUACUUGCUCUUGAACUCUACAGGUGGGAAUAACCUCUCUGUCCUUCUGGAGGGCUCUCUGAUCCCUGCUAGAGGCAUAUGGUAUAAAACUGAAAAUAAGCCAACCAACAUAGCAGUUUUCAUUAGUGAUGUUGUGAGUGU